GUUUAGGAACUCACUUCAGCAUAACAAACACUAAAAUUAGAAUGGUACAGAGAUUGGUAUGAACCCUGCACAAGGAUGACACACACAUUUGUGUUCUAUAUACUC
rnacentral:snRNA from 1 species